GACGAACGCUGGCGGCGUGCUUAACACAUGCAAGGCGAACGGAAAGGAGCUGCUUUUGGGGGGGGCGCGAGUGGCGAACGGGUGGGUAACAAGUGAGUAACCGGCCCUUGACUUUGGGAUAACUUCAGGAAAAUGGGGCUAAUACGGGAAAGGAGCUGCUGCGGCAUGGGGGGGUGUGGAAAGUUGCGGCGGGUGGGGAUGGCCUCGCGGCUUAUCAGCUUGUUGGUGGGGUAGUGGCUUACCAAGGCUUUGACGGGUAGCCGGCCUAAUUGGGUGACCGGCACCAUUGGGCCUGACAUACGGCCCAGACUCCUACGGUCAACCGCACUCGGGAAUAUUACACAAUGUACAGCGACCUUAUGCAACAACGCCGCGUCCUGGAUGACGGCCUUCCGGUUGUACACCGCUUUCGCCUGUGCCGCACCUUGAGUGACAUUCAUUUGUCACGAACCACCGGCUAACUCCGUG
rnacentral:rRNA from 1 species